AUUAGUUUGCUUCCUAAAACUAUCCAAGAGGAUGAAGCAUAAUUCAAUUUUUAGAAACAAAACUAGAGAUUAACAUCAAUUUCAGAAUCCCAAUCUCAUUGGACAGUAAUUUUCUUACUAACGGAUCAAUAUACUGAGACUCAAACUUAAAUCCAACAUACUUAAUUACAGACUGAGAAUCAUGAAAAUAGCCACUAGAAGCUCUAUCUCGUUAAUGAGUCAUCUGUUUAAACAAGUAUAUGAACCAGCUAAUAUGGAAUUAAUUUAAACUAAAGUGAACUAUUCUAUGAAAUUAACUACAACAAUUACUUAGUAGGUAUAUGCAUCAGCUAGUAGGGAACUAACUACAACUAGCACUUAACUCAAAAAACAAACUCACAUGAAGCUAAGACAUAACAGUUUAUAGUCCUGUUAUUACAUAACCAAUUUCAGUUCAGUCAUGCAUUUUGAAUUUGAUUACAAUGUAUAACCACCAAAUCACAACAAAUCAUCUAAACGUAACGAGAUAACAAAUCUAAAACAGAGAAUUGGCUUCAGUGUUCAUGUCAUGUUGUCAACAGGAGGUGAUACAUCAAAACAGGCUCGAAAUGUGUACCUGGAAAUAACAAUAUAACAGGAAUAAGGAGAGGUUAGCAACAGCAGAGCAUGCAACAUUGAUUUGGAGUUUCAAAUACCAACAAUACAACAAUUUUAGCCCAGAAAUGAAUCAGUGAUCCAGGAAGGUUUUCAAAACCAAAAUAGUACCAAUAUAACCAACAACGAACCCAGCAAUCCACACACUCGAUGAAUAACCCACAGCCAACUCAAAUAAACUAACACUAGUGCUCAAAUGAUUCAAAGCACUUUAACAUUUCAAAUAUUAAACAGAAGCAAAAGAACUCAAGCUAUUUUUGGUUUCAAAAUGAGCUAGAAAGUUGAACUGAAGCUGGAACUCGAAAACAACCUAAAGAAAAGCAGUAAAACAAUCUUUGUUUUUGGAUUUUUUAUUGUAUUUCUACUGUUUUUGGUUUUUAAGUUUGAAUUUCAAAUCUUAGAUAUGAAAACUGGAGAACACACUUUGGGGGGAAUGUUUUAGAGCUGAACCUUAUUAAUUAAGGCACUUAGUCAUGCCUUUUAUAGGCAAAGACUAGGGCAUCCCUCAAUUUCUGUUUACACUCUUAGUCCUUAUUUAUUUUCAGAUUCAGUCCUUUAUCUUUUAACUUGCAACCCAAGUUACUAUCCUAAAUUUACUGAAAUCUAACUUGAGCUCUAUUCUUGAAGAUUCUGGGGAAUUAUAUUCUAAUCUACAACAUUCAUGUUCAAUUCCAAUUACCCAAAUACCCCUAAAUACCCCCUGAAAUUACUCCCCUAGUUAACUGACCCAACCCUCUUGUUAGAAUUCAAUUACAGCCAAACAGAUCUUAAACUAAAACUGAUCUAACUAAUAUGAUUAAUCUGAAGUUUAAUUCUAAACAUAGAAAUCUUACAACAUUGAAAUUCUUCAAUUUAAAAUCAAACAAAACCAAAUUGAACCAACUAAGAAGAACUAACGAACAGAAAUCAAAACAAUACGAAAUGAUAGCUAAACAUGGACGCCUACUGUCGAAAUCAAGUGAGUACAUUACUAAAACAAACUAAUUAUAUGAUAAAGGAAAAAUCAGAAACCUAACUGAAAUCCAAACUUGCCACAGAAAUAAUGAAAAAAAUUCUAAAUAAACAAAGCAAUACUAAUAAUAAAGUAAAAGCUGAAAACAGGGAAGAAAGAAACAAUCACAAGGUUCACUGAAUUGUCUAGGGUUCUACCGCAUCGCGAUUCAAAGUUGGAGAGGAUUUGAGGCGAUUUUAUAGCUAAUGAUGAUGGAUUUGCAAUGAGGUAAGUGAGGAAGGGCCUUGGUGCAAAUUUGGGGUUUUUGUGACAAACUUGGGCUUUGAGGUCAUUGAAUCAAGAUUCGAAACAUCCAGUUGUGAUUCGAAUCAAAAUAGGGCUAGAUAUGGAAAGAGGAGAAGGGGGAACCUAGGGUGUAAAUUUGAGAUUAAUUUGCGGUGGCGCCGGCGAAGGCACGGUGGUCUGACGGUGGGUAGCAGUGGGAGACGGAGGGUACGAGGAAGAUGACUUGUUUGUCUCUAAAAUUUUAAGGAGUUUAUUACAAUUUUAUGUAAUCUCCUUGGAUGGAU
rnacentral:lncRNA from 1 species